rnacentral:lncRNA from 1 species
UCUUUUUGCUCACUUUUCUGACUCCCUCUCCGGCUCUGUCCAAGCAGGGAGGGGCAAAGAAAGAAAGAAAGAGAGAGAGAGAGAGAGAGAGAGAGAGAGAGAGGUGCGUUGUUUGCACAGAGACUUGGAGAGAGCUGUACUCGCAUGAACUCGGAGAGAAAAGUAACAAUUAUCGAUCCCAAUACUCAUCUUGGUAUAGAUAUUUAGAUCGAUACGCCUAGCCCUACUAUAUAUUAUAUUUCGCGAAAUUAAUUUUAAUCUUUAUAUUUUGUUUAUUUUUUCGCGAACUGAAUUGAGGAGAGACACGCGCUGCACCAUGACAGUACGCCGAGACACAGUAAUACCUUUCUGGGCUGUGUGUAUGGUCUUACUGGAGCCACAGUCGUAUGCCCAAGGCAGCCCACAUAAGAAGACAUCUCUGUUAGGAUAAUUUUGUUAGGGCACACUGAAGAUCAAAACAUUGAGUUCAGGCACUGACAUAUUGUAAAAUAUGGCAUGGUCGUAUUGUGACUUUCAAAAUAUGGCAUGAUUGUAUUGUGUUGUAACUUAAACAAUAUGGUAUGGUCUUAUUAUAUCUUAAAAUAAAG